GAAACUUUAUGGGACUGGCCCUUAUAUGACUUUUAAUCAGAGGGUCGAUGGUUCGAAUCCAUCCGGGCUCACCA
rnacentral:tRNA from 1 species